AUCCCAUGGUGAGGGCAUUCCCUUUGGUACUCCUUAAAACGAUCCCAAGCUUCGAAGAGUGACUCAUCUCGC
rnacentral:snoRNA from 1 species